rnacentral:tRNA from 1 species
CAAAAUAGGGCUAGGUAGAAAAGCGUUUCAUUUACAUUGGGUAGAAACUGUGCAAUUCAGUAUAUUUUGA